rnacentral:rRNA from 1 species
CCUACGGGAGGCAGCAGUGGGGAAUUUUGGACAAUGGGCGAAAGCCUGAUCCAGCAAUGCCGCGUGUGUGAAGAAGGCCUUCGGGUUGUAAAGCACUUUUGUCCGGAAAGAAAUCCUUGACUCUAAUACAGUCGGGGGAUGACGGUACCGGAAGAAUAAGCACCGGCUAACUACGUGCCAGCAGCCGCGGUAAUACGUAGGGUGCGAGCGUUAAUCGGAAUUACUGGGCGUAAAGCGUGCGCAGGCGGUUUGCUAAGACCGAUGUGAAAUCCCCGGGCUCAACCUGGGAACUGCAUUGGUGACUGGCAGGCUAGAGUAUGGCAGAGGGGGGUAGAAUUCCACGUGUAGCAGUGAAAUGCGUAGAGAUGUGGAGGAAUACCGAUGGCGAAGGCAGCCCCCUGGGCCAAUACUGACGCUCAUGCACGAAAGCGUGGGGAGCAAACAGGAUUAGAUACCCUGGUAGUCCACGCCCUAAACGAUGUCAACUAGUUGUUGGGGAUUCAUUUCCUUAGUAACGUAGCUAACGCGUGAAGUUGACCGCCUGGGGAGUACGGUCGCAAGNUUAAAACUUAAAGGAAUUGACGG